UUUCUCACCUCUCGGCCAUUCCUCUUCCGUGCUCCUUGUGCCCCUCCCUGCUCGCUGCACGGGGCAGCGUUGGCCUCCCCCCUCCCCCUCCACCCUUCCGCUGCACCAUUACCUCGCCCUCUGCCGCCUGCUGCGUUUUCUCCGUUUCUUUUUGUCGCGCGUGCCCGCGGCAUUGCUGCAGCGCCAUGCCUCUAAAGGCGGCCUCGUCGAGGUGGGUCCGCACCACUGUGUGCUGAACCCUCUGCUCGUGCUGUCGAAGGUGCUGGUGGACGCGGCGCAGUUCACCACCUCUGUGUCCCCGCCGCUGAUGAGGAUCCCGCGUCUGUACGACGUGAGCAGCACCACAGAGAGUGCUGCGCUGUUUAAACGGCGCGCUGCACGUCCUCGCGGACUGCUAUCGCGUGAUGUGCGCACAGGGGCUGGCGCACCCGCUGGUGGUCGAGGCGCUCGGCUGCAUCCUCGGUGCGCUGCUCGCGUUGCUGCUUGGCCUUUCCGUCCGCGCCGAUGCAGCGCGACGACAUCAGCGAGAACGCCUUAAUCAAGGAGGGUGAGGACAAGCUGCCCGCGGAGCGCAAGAGCAUGGACAUUCUCUCCUACAAACGCUACAUCAAGUCACGCAUGCCAACACCGCUCGCGCUCCCCUCUCUCCUCAUCCGCGCUGGUGUGGGCAAUCCCUAUCUGCGGCUUGCUUGUGUACGUGUGGUCGUGUGCGUCCGUCUUUUGCGGUUUCUCCCUUGUUGUGGCGUUGCGCGGCGCUCGCCUACCCCCCCCCCCCCCUCCCAUUGCCCUUGCGAUACGCCACCGUGUCCCCAUCAAAGUGUGAAUGCCAUCCGACCCGGGGGCGUGUGCGCCGUUGUGCACUUUUUUGCGCGUGCCUGUGCGCGCCAUCUGCCUUCUUGCUCCUCUUACCCGCCUCUGUGAUCCUCCUUGCUCCUGUUUCGGCGCGCGUGCAG
rnacentral:misc_RNA from 1 species